UAUUUAAUUGGGUUGAAGAAAGCUUGAGCUUUUUUUUUUGAAAGCAGAAAGCUUGAGCUUUAUACAAUAUAAAGUGAUAAAAUCCUUUUAUGCUUUUAUAAGCAAAUAGGGGAAGAUAUGGUUAAACUCAUGAUAUUUGUCUAUGUUAUGAUCCUUUUUAUUUUCUUAUUUCUUGUUGCAACUAAUGUUGACUCACUUGUUGAAUGUUAUAAAGAUUCCGAUUGUCCAAAAAAUAUGUGUUUGUCUCCUUGGACUGCGUGGUGUGUUAAUCAGAGAUGUGAAUGUGUUGCUACAUAUGGUCCAACAAAUACUAUAGAUCAAAGACACUACAUCGAUGCCCUAGAGGAAAGAUUGAUUUCUUCCACUAGAAAAAAAUCUAACAAAUAUCGUUUAUGAUAAGUUAUUCGAUGAUAAGUCAUUAUUGUGUUGGCAACGAAUUACCUGAAUUUGUUUGUUUUGAUUUUCUAAUUUCACAAACCUUACGGUUAUGACUUUGUACUCUAAAAUAAUGGUAAUAAAAUAGAAUAAAAGCUCUAAUAAUAUUACUUAA